UGAAUACGAGAUGCUACGGCGUCGAAGCAGUCUAUGUCAUACUUCCAAGAAAAGCUUGCACUGUCAUAAACAAAUAAUGCCUGUACCAUAACCGACACAGGUGGGUAGGUAGAGUAUACUAAGGGGCGCGAGAUAACCCUCUCUAAGGAACUCGGCAAAAUGACUCCGUAACUUCAGGAGAAGGAGUGCCUUAUUUAUAAGGUUGCAAUAACAAGAUCCAAGCAACUGUUUACCAAAAACACAGGUCUCCGCUAAGUCGUAAGACGAUGUAUGGGGGCUGACGCCUGCCCAGUGCCAGAAGGUUAAAGAAGUUGGUUAGCAUCCGCGAAGCUGAUAACUGAAGCCCUGGUGAACGGCGGCCGUAACAAUAACGGUCCUAAGGUAGCGAAAUUCCUUGUCGGGUAAGUUCCGACCCGCACGAAAGGCGUAAUGAUUUGGAUACUGUCUCGGAGAGGGGCUCGGUGAAAUAGACUUGUCUGUGAAGAUGCGGACUACCUGCACCAGGACAGAAAGACCCUAUGAAGCUUUACUGUAACCUGAAAUUGAAAUUGGACUUUAUUUGCGCAGUAUAGGUGGGAGGCGUUGAGAAUAUUCUUGCGGGAUUAUUGGAGCCAUCAGUGAGAUACCACUCUUGUAAUGUUAGAUUUCUAACUUUGUAUCAUUAUCUGGUCAAAGAACAGUUUCAGGCGGGCAGUUUGACUGGGGCGGUCGCCUCCUAAACGGUAACGGAGGCGCACAAAGGUUUCCUCUGAACGGGUAGAAAUCGUAUCUAGAGUGUAAAGGCAUAAGGAAGCUUGACUGUGAGACCUACAAGUCGAGCAGGGACGAAAGUCGGUCUUAGUGAUCUGACGGUGCUGAGUGGAAAGGCCGUCACUCAACGGAUAAAAGUUACUCUAAGGAUAACAGGCUGAUCUCCCCCAAGAGUUCACAUCGACGGGGAGGUUUGGCACCUCGAUGUCGGCUCAUCGCAUCCUGGGGCGGUAGUACGUCCCAAGGGUUGGGCUGUUCGCCCAUGAAAGCGGUACGCGAGCUGGGUUCAGAACGUCGUGAGACAGUUCGGUCCAUAUCCGGUGUAGGCGUUAGAAUAUUGAGAGGAGCCUUCUUUAGUACGAGAGGACCGAGAAGGACAUACCUCUGGUGUACCAGUUAUCGUGCCAACGGUAAACGCUGGGUAGCUAUGUGUGGAGUGGAUAACCGCUGAAAGCAUCUAAGUGGGAAGCCCACCUCAAGAUAAGUAUUCUCA
rnacentral:rRNA from 1 species